AUCCAGUGUAGUAUUUUAAAAGCUGUCUAAAUUCUGAAGGGGAUUACAAUGAAACUAAAAGUGUUUGUAUCACUGAUCGCGCUAGCUACACUAAAUCAUUCGAUUAAUGGCUAUAAUAAAAGAAAGUGUAGUGCUUCAAUCCCCAUUGAUCGCAAGUGUGGGCAAAGAAUUCGUAUAGCUUGGACCUAUAACUUGGGAGUUUGCUGGCAGUUUUCUUACACUGGAUGUUUAAUAAACAAAAGAAACAUGUAUAACUCACUAGCCCAAUGCGAGAAGACUUGCAGCAGGCGAUCUCAUUCAUAAGGAUUUAGACACAAAAAAUAUAUAAAAUUUUAUUACGGAGUAGAGAAAAUUAAUCACAAAUGUAUAUCAAAUAAAUUAUUUUAGGGCUCA